ACAGUCUACUGAAACUGGAUAUCAAUCUCCUCCAAAGAAGGACAUGGACUGAGGAAGAAAAACUGUGAUGCCAGAAGCAUUAAGUGGUCGGCAAGUAUGGGUGGAGAAGAGUGAUCAUUCUUUAGCCCCUUAUUCUCUGAGCUCCUAGCCUACUGAAAAAUCGAGAUGGACCCUCAAUGAAGGAGGAGAGACACAGAGACUGAGUUUAUGCACAAAUGAGGUAAGAAGACUUACCUGGCAGUGAUCCUGACUUCCUAGCGUGGGUCCCAUACAGAACAUGUCUUCAAGGAGUUUUUCACCCAGCAUUUUUUUGCAGUUUACAUUAAAGUUCAAUUGAGCCGUGA